GAUGAACGCUGGCGGCGUGCCUAACACAUGCAAGUCGAACGGAGUAUAUAUUAUGAAGUUUUCGGAUGGAUUAAUAUAAACUUAGUGGGGGACGGGUGAGUAACGCGUGGGUAACCUGCCUCAUACAGGGGGAUAACAGCUGGAAACGGCUGCUAAAACCGCAUAAUAUUGCGACAUCGCAUGGUGAUGCAAUUAAAUAUUUAUAGGUAUGAGAUGGGCCCGCGUCUGAUUAGCUAGUUGGUGAGGUAAUGGCUCACCAAGGCGACGAUCAGUAGCCGGCUUGAGAGAGUGACCGGCCACAUUGGGACUGAGACACGGCCCAAACUCCUACGGGAGGCAGCAGUGGGGAAUAUUGCACAAUGGGGGAAACCCUGAUGCAGCGACGCCGCGUGAGUGAAGAAGUAUUUCGGUAUGUAAAGCUCUAUCAGCAGGGAAGAAAAUGACGGUACCUGACUAAGAAGCCCCGGCUAACUACGUGCCAGCAGCCGCCGUAA
rnacentral:rRNA from 1 species